AUCUAACUACCAUAUUGGUACAGAAUUUCGUAUGCUAGGAGGUCGACUGAAGAGGACCUUCAUUGGUCCUAGAACGGCCUGAGGUAGAGGGGUUUUAGUCGGUAGGUCCGAGGACUUCUUCCUCGGGAAUCCGACACUACCCAGUCGUACGGAAGGCUGGGUGUCUUUUGAAAAUUCCCCUCUUCCACGAAA
rfam:Agrilus planipennis Contig4156, whole genome shotgun sequence.